GAUCAAGUGCUGGGAAGCUGGUUGAUCUUUACCCUUCCUCCUGCUCCUCUCCACAUCCAGAAGCAAGGGCUGGACUUUAUAGCCCCACACUGGCUUGUAAAGUGAGUCACAGGAUUUUCCCUUGUGGGACUGUGAGAAUGUACUGUAGUACCCUCAGAGGAAUGUGAAAAUGAACUCCAUUUUAUUUUCCAGGGCAGCAAUUGAUGGGAAAGAAUCAACUGCAGGCCCUCCAGCUCCUCAAUGGCGGUCUGAAUCACUGCAGUAAUCUGGAGUCUUGCAGGUUUAUUAUAUUGAUGUUUCACAGCUUUUCUGUGCCUUCUUAUUCUGGAGAGGCGGUUUGAUCAGUCUGUGACACAUAUCCAUCCAUCUUGAAUGCUUUUUAAAAGUUGUGAGACCUUAGACAGAGAUGUUUGUGUGGUUUUAUGCGCCACAAAGCUCUUAAAUUUCACUCUGGAGCGCCUGAAAG